rnacentral:rRNA from 1 species
UACGAAGGGGGCUAGCGUUGCUCGGAAUCACUGGGCGUAAAGGGUGCGUAGGCGGGUUUUAAGUCAGAGGUGAAAUCCUGGAGCUCAACUCCAGAACUGCCUUUGAUACUGAAAGUCUUGAGUAUGGGAGAGGUUGGUGGAAUUGCGAGUGUAGAGGUGAAAUUCGUAGAUAUUCGCAAGAACACCGGUGGCGAAGGCGGCCAACUGGUCCGGAUCUGACGCUGAGGCGCGAAAGCGUGGGGAGCAAACAGG